AUGCACGCUAGCGAUAGGCUUAACACCUGCAAGUCGCGGAGCAGCAUGGUCUUAGCUUGCUAAGACUGAUGGCGACCGGCGCACGGGUGCGUAACGCGUAUGCAACUUGCCUCACAGAGGGGGAUAACCCGUCGAAAGACGGACUAAUACCGCGUACACUUAGGAUAGGGCAUCCUGACCCAAGGAAAUGAAAUUCGCUGUGAGAUAGGCAUGCGUCCCAUUAGCUAGUUGGUGAGGUAACGGCUCACCAAGGCGACGAUGGGUAGGGGAACUGAGAGGUUGAACCCCCACACUGGUACUGAGACACGGACCAGACUCCUACGGGAGGCAGCAGUGAGGAAUAUUGGUCAAUGGGCGAGAGCCUGAACCAGCCAAGUCGCGUGAAGGAUGACUGUCUUAUGGAUUGUAAACUUCUUUUAUACGGGAAUAACAAGAGCCACGUGUGGCUCCCUGCAUGUACCGUAUGAAUAAGCAUCGGCUAACUCCGUG
rnacentral:rRNA from 1 species